rnacentral:rRNA from 1 species
UACAGAGGUGGCAAGCGUUGUUCGGAAUUACUGGGCGUAAAGGGCGCGUAGGCGGUUCGACAAGUCCCGCGUGAAAGCCCCCGGCUCAACUGGGGAACGGCGCGGGAAACUGUCGGGCUUGAGUUCGGGAGAGGGAAGCGGGAUUCCGGGUGUAGCGGUGAAAUGCGUAGAUAUCCGGAGGAACACCGGUGGCGAAGGCGGCUUCCUGGACCGACACUGACGCUGAGGCGCGAAAGCUAGGGGAGCAAACGGG